CGGGUGCGUAACACGUGAGCAACCCGCCUUUGGUGGUGGGGGAGUAGCCGGGCUAACGCCCGGGUAAUACCGCAUACGGUUGCCGAGGGGAGUCCCUUGGCAAAGAAACCUCCGGGGCACAGAGAGGGGCUCGCGGCCUAUCAGCUAGUUGGUGAGGUAACGGCUCACCAAGGCGUCGACGGGUAGCUGGUCUGAGAGGAUGGCCAGCCACAUUGGGACUGAGAUACGGCCCAG
rnacentral:rRNA from 1 species